rnacentral:lncRNA from 1 species
GCAGCCGAUUGUUCCUCCAAAGGCCAAGUACCAUGCUCACUGAGGGUAGGUUUUGUAGCUCCUUCUGACACUUUACAUGAAGUGCCUUGUCAGCACAUCUGUAGCCUUGACCACAGCUUAAAUGUUUGUAUACUCCUUUUUAUUAGGGCAGCUUCAUUUUGUUUACACACUGUUUUCAUUUCUCCAAGGAACAAUUUCAAAAUGAUCUUCCAGAUGCUAUAUAACUAAGAACUUUUAAACUACUGACCUCAAAGGUCAGCCUGUUUACUGGCAUCUGACUGUGUAGAACAGGAAGUUUGUGUUGCAUCUUGUGUUCUUAAUGAAAUCCGACAACAGAGGACUGAACGCAUUAGUCUCAGAACAGGAGGCCUAAGGAUGGCAAAGACCCAAGGGUCAAUUAUUGAAUUAAUUGAUAAAAACCUAAGAGCUUGGAGGUCCCAUUUUUCCUUUCGGGAAGAGGUUUCAUUCAUAUAUGCAAAAAUCUGUAAGAAGCAAAGGGGAAAAAUGAUGUUAGUUUUACAUCGUAGCAGUAGACAGGCUUAGACCCUAUGUUAUGUCUUGAGAUUUAAAAGCAAAACCAUGUUUUGUCUGUGGUAGUGGUGGGGAACGAAAGGUGGGGGUUGGGAAUCUUACCUUUCUUCCUUAUGUAAACUGUAACAUAAUGAAUGUAUUUUUUCCCCUUGAACUCAAUGAAAGCAUGUUUUCUGUGGAAUGCAAUUAACAUUAACACCAUGCACAAUGUCUUGGUGUCAUUGGGAGUGGAGAGAAAUAAACUUUUCUUGUCAUCUAGAAUAGAAUCUUUUAACAAUAUAAAUAAUAAUGAUAAUAUUAGUAGCUCCAGUGUAUCAAUAACCUAAUAUAUGUGUCAUGAAUUGUUCUGGGUACUAACCCCGCUUUAUCUCUACUCCUUAUAGAAACUCUGAAACUUAGAGAUUGUCUCUUUUUAACAGAUAGGGAAGUGAACUUCAGGAAAACUAAUAACAUGUUACAUUUACUUCCAAAUACUAAAUCUAAUGAUCACAAUUCAGCGAGACAGGGUCUGCAAUGGAACACCCUGAGUGGGAGUAUGAGUUCUGGCCAUUGGACUGGGUUUGAAUCCUACCUCUGUAUAUAGUUUGAGAUCAAUGGCAAGAUAUUAAUAAUGAACCUUUGUGCCUCAGUUUUGACAUCUUUAAAAUGGGUGAUAAUAAUAACAUACCCACUUCAUAGAGUUGCUGAAAGGAUGAUAGGAAGUGAUAUGUGUAAGCUACUUAGAUCAGUGCUCACAUCCUAAGUGCUCCACAGUGUUCAUUGUUAUUAUAUCCAUUUUACAAAUGCAGACACUGGGGUAUAGAAAAUUAGAUAAUUUGCUCAAGUACCCAGAGCUGGUUAGUGGCCAAAUCAGGAUGCAAAUUCCAACUCUCCUGAUGCCAGUGCAGUGCUCACUGUGUGCUACGUGCAGGCCUGUAUUAGAGCAAAGGCCUCAGAACAAUGUCCUGAACACUGGAAAGCUGACACAUCUUUACAUAUGGACCAAACUGCUCUACCAGCCCUCAAACGAUUUCUUAGUUAUUUAGGGAGCAACAUAAAUGUUUGGGCAGGUUGGAAGGAAUGGAAUAAUGCAUCUUGAUAAAGAUCACACUUCUACAAAAUUCACAGAAAAGAGGAAAACAAAGGUAGAUCACACCUAGUCAUUUAAAACCAGUGCUUUAUAAGGCUCCAGGGUCUUUCUUACCAAUGGCUUUAGACACCUAGCCCCUCUUUUCUUCACUCGCCUUCUGCAGAAGAAGGAGCAGCUUGUUUCCCUUCUCUGAGUACUUACUCUGCAGGCAUCUGGCAACUGGAUAUACAAAGCAAAUUGCAGAGAGCGCAAAGGGUAGUCAUCUUCAGUUUGCUUAUGUUGGGACAAGAGCAGGAAGGUUUGGCAGCCAUAGGUGUUUAUGCCGGAGAAUCUUGGCAUAGGGAAUGGAGAAAAGAUUUGGCAGAUGAGUAAGGAAAAAGAAGAAUUGAUGGUGGGUUUCCCAGAGAGUAGAGGAAAGCUAGGUGAGGAGGUGCAAUGGAGCAAUAGCUUUCUUGUCAGUUAAACUAUUUUGGAUGAAAACUACACAGGCUGGUGUGUUAAAAGAGUGAUUUGGAGGUAAGAAAUUCAGGAUAAUGAUGCACAUAGGUCUACAGAUUAAAACACAUAUUAGUGAUUACAUAUGCACACACACGUGUGCACAUGAUGCAUAACUGAGCACUCCUGUAGAAAGGGCCUGCAGCUGAGUUGAUGAUCUAGUUUAACCAGAGAACAUAUUCACACUGAAUUGGCCAGCCAAGAAGUGCAGAAAAGGCAUAGCCUCUGGUGUUGCAGCUUCACACAUUAAGAUGAGUCAGGUUUUCAGGGGAGAAUAACCCACAUCAGAGUUCCUGAAUGUCUUUAGAGCGUGACAGAAUAAUGAGAAGUGAAAAUUGGUUGUAGAGGAUGAAGCAAUUCUGUACUGUUUCCUUUCCUUUAUCAUCUACUAUGCUGGGUAAUUUUGAGAAUUGCUUAAAAUUUGCACUUUGGAGGUGACCAAUAUUUUGUAGAAGACGGCUUUUUUUUUGAGAUGGAGUCUCACUCUGUCGCCCAGGAUAGAGUGCAGUGGCGUGAUCUCCACUCACUGCAACCUCUGCCUCCUGCGUUCAAGUGAUUCUCCUGCUGCAGCCUCCUGAGUAGCUGGGAUUACAGGCACCCGCCACCACGCCUGGCUAAUUUUUGUAUUUUUAGUAGAGAUGGGGUUUCACCAUGUUGGACAGGCUGGUCUUGAACUCCUGACCUCAAGUGAUCUGCCUGCCUUGGCCUCCCGAAGUGCUGGGAUUACAGGUGUGAGCCACUGCGCCCAGCCAGUUCCUUCUUUUAUACUUGGAGAAGAGACAUACUUCAGUGACCCUCGAAAUUCUUGAUGUAAGUUUUGUCUUCUACCUCCCCAUUUUUUUCUUUUGGUUCUUGUCUUUUGCCUAGAUUACUAUAUUUUUGAUCUUAUGGAUACUGGGAUUUUAAAAAAUUGUGGUAAAAUAAAUAUAACAUAAAAUUUACCAUUUUGCCAUUUUCAGCUAUACAUUAAAUACAUUUACAUUGUGGGGCAAUCAUAUUGUUUAUAUUUUCACUUUUCUGCAUAUUAUGCUUUGACAUCUUAAAUUCUUCUUGGCUGGGAGAGAAUGCCCCUCCGGGGCUAGCUAAUUUGUAGAGAUAGCAAAGAGUUAGGCUGGGAGCAUGUCUUUGAUAUACAGACUAACCUAUCCAGGGCCAGAACUCUUCUAUCAAGGAAAUAUUUAUUCCUCUGCUUUUAUCAUUCCAAUGCCAGGUACCAGGCAACUAGGGACCACCCCUAUAGCUUAGAGCCUGCUGAAAUUAUUCAACCUAACCAAUCCUAAACUGUUUACCCUGCUCUGCCUUUCUUGUGGAAACUCCAAUAAAGGCUUGGCCCAGGUCCUCCCCACCCUCCUGCCUCUCUGCCUCCUGACUGAAACCGAUGCUUUUUCAUGUGGCCCUGAGUGGUCCACCAUGUCUGUGUUUUCCUGAACAUCUCCUGUGUCUCUUCUUGUGGAUGCACUUGACUGCAUCCACGUAAAAGAACAAAGAACAGCAACCAUCACUACCAUCUCCAGAAUUAUUUUCAUCAUCCCAAAUUGAAACUCUGUACCCAUUAAACAAUAACUGCCCAUUCUCCUCUCCCUCCGGCCAGUCCUGAGUUUUUAGUUAAAGGAUGUCACAAAGGAUAUAAGAUAAUUAAUUAAUAAUAUGUCAGUGAUAUUCGGCAAUUCAGUUUCAGAGGUUGGUAGAAGUUAUCCAUCUUUUUGUGUGCACUACCAAUGUAUUUGUUAUGAGAAAAAUACCAAGUGCUAAUCCCAAUGAGUCAAGUGAAUUUUAAUUCCUCAGGGCAGGCUGUCUCUACAGGGCUUUGUUAAGAAGGUAAAGCCUUGUUGUGACAUUUACAAAGUGGCACAGAUGAGAAUUAGUGCUAUUUUAGCAUUGUCAUGUAUAGAAGCAGCCUCCCAUAGAAAACUUCAUUUUGGCACUGACCAGGUACUAUUCUUUUGCGCUACUUUUCUAUCUUUAAUGCAAUUACAAAGUGGGUUCAGAAUUUUAGAGCAAAUGAGGGCUUUAUUUGGCCGAUCAUUGAAAUCACCUGAGGAGCUUUAAAAAUAGGUUGGGUGCGGUGGCUCACGCCUGUAAUCCUAGCACUUUGGGAGGCCGAGGCAGGCAGGUCACCUGAGGUGAGAAGUUUGAGACCAGCCUGGCCAACAUGGUGAAACUACAUCUCUACUAAAAAAUACAAAAAUUACCCAGGCGUGUUGGUGGGCACCUGUAAUCCCAGCUACUUGGAAGGCUGAGGGGAAGGAUUGCUUGAACCUAGGAGGCAGAGGUUGUAGUAAGCUGAGAUCACACCACUGCAUUUCAGCCUGGGUGACAGAGUGAGUCUCUGUCUCAAAAUAAAUACAUACAUACAUACACACAUACAUACAUACAUACAUGCAUAAAAAUAUUCUGAGGCAUUUCUCCCUUCCCCAGAUGUUGCAGGAAGUCAGGGACCCCAAAUGGAAGGACUGGUUGGAGCCGCGGCAGAGGAAUAUAAAUUGUGAAGAUUUCAUGGACAUUUAUCCGUUCCCAAAUAAUACUCUUAUAAUUUCUUACGCCUGUCUUACUUUAAUCUCUUAAUCCUGUUAUCUUCGUAAGCUGAGGAUGUACGUCACCUCAGGACCACUAUGAUAUUUGUGUUAACUGUACAAAUUGAUUGUAAAACAUAUGUGUUUGAACAAUAUGAAAUCAGUGCACCUUGAAAAAGAACAGAAUAACAGCGAUUUUCAGGGAACAAGGGAAGAAAACCACAAGGUCUGACUGGCUGUGGGGUCGGGCAAAAUAGAGCCGUAUUUUUCUUCUUGCAGAGAGCCUAUAAACUGACAUGCAUGUAGGGAAGAUAUUGUUAAAUUCUUUUCCUAGCAAAGAAUAUUAAUAAUUAAUACCCUGGAGAAGGAAUGCAUUCCUGGGGGGAGGUCUAUAAACGGCCGCUCUGGGAGUGUCUGUCUUAUGCGGUUGAGAUAAGGACUGAAAUACGCCCUGGUCUCCUGCAGUACCCUCAGGCUUACUAGGGUGGGGAAAAAAACCCACCCUGGUUAAUUUGAGGUCAGACUGGUUCUCUGCUCUCGAACCCUGUUUUCUGUUGUUUAAGAUGUUUAUCAAGACAAUACGUGCACCACUGAACAUAGACCCUUAUCAGUAAUUCUGCUUUUGCCCUUUGCCUUGUGAUCUUUGCUUUUGCCCUUUGCCUUGUGAUCUUU